CCUACGGGUGGCAGCAGUGGGGAAUAUUGCACAAUGGGGGAAACCCUGAUGCAGCAACGCCGCGUGCGUGAAGAAGUAUUUCGGUAUGUAAAGCUCUAUCAGCAGGGAAGAAGAAAGACGGUACCUGAUUAAGAAGCCCCGGCUAACUACGUGCAAGCAGCCGCGGAAAUACGUAGGGGGCAAGCGUUAUCCGGAUUUACUGGGUGUAAAGGGAGCGUAGACGGCUGUGCAAGUCCGAUGUGAAAGCCCGUGGCUCAACCGCGGAACUGCUUUGGAAACUGUAUAGCUGGAGUACAGGAGAGGCAGGCGGAAUUCCUAGGGUAGCGGUGAAAUGCGUAGAUAUUAGGAGGAACACCAGUGGCGAAGGCGGCCUGCUGGACAGAAACUGACGUUGAGGCUCGAAAGCGUGGGGAGCAAACAGGAUUAGAUACCCGAGUAGUC
rnacentral:rRNA from 1 species